UGGGGAAUCUUGCGCAAUGGGCGAAAGCCUGACGCAGCAACGCCGCGUGAGCGAAGAAGGCCUUCGGGUUGUAAAGCUCUGUCAGGGGGAAAGAAGGCACCUGGGUUAAUAGCCCAAGGGCUGACGGUACCCCCAAAGGAAGCCACGGCUAACUACGUGCCAGCAGCCGCGGUAAUACGUAGGUGGCAAGCGUUGUCCGGAAUCAUUGGGCGUAAAGAGCGCGUAGGUGGCUUGUCAGGUCUGAUGUGAAAUUUCGGGGCUCAACCACGGACCUGCAUCGGAAACCGGCUUGCUAGAGUCUGGGAGAGGAGAGUGGAAUUCCUGGUGUAGCGGUGAAAUGCGUAGAUAUCAGGAGGAACACCGGUAGCGAAGGCGGCUCUCUGGAACAGUACUGACGCUGAGGCGCGAAAGCUAGGGGAGCGAACAG
rnacentral:rRNA from 1 species